rnacentral:rRNA from 1 species
GACGAACCGUGCAAACGUUGUUCGGAAUCACUGGGCAUAAAGGGCGCGUAGGCGGCGCGGUAAGUCGGGUGUGAAAUCUUGGAGCUUAACUCCGAAACUGCAUUCGAUACUGCCGUGCUUGAGGACUGGAGAGGAGACUGGAAUUUACGGUGUAGCGGUGAAAUGCGUAGAUAUCGUAAGGAAGACCAGUGGCGAAGGCGGGUCUCUGGACAGUUCCUGACGCUGAGGCACGAAGGCCAGGGGAGCAAACGGG